rnacentral:rRNA from 1 species
AUUGAACGCUGGCGGCAGGCCUAACACAUGCAAGUCGAGCGGAUGAAGGGAGCUUGCUUCUGGAUGCAGCGGCCGACGGGUGAGUAAUGCCUAGGUAUCUGCCUGGUAGUGGGGGACAACGUUGCGAAGGGAGCGCUCAUACCGCAUACGUCCUACGGGAGAAAGCAGGGGACCUGCGGGCCUUGCGCUACCAGAUGAGCCUAGGUCGGAUUAGCUAGUUGGUGAGGUAAUGGCUCAUCGAGGCGACGAUCCGUAACUGGUCUGAGAGGAUGAUCAGUCACACUGGAACUGAGACACGGUCCAGACUCCUACGGGAGGCAGCAGUGGGGAAUAUUGGACAAUGGGCGCAAGCCUGAUCCAGCCAUGCCGCGUGUGUGAAGAAGGCCUUCGGGUUGUAAAGCACUUUCAGUAGGGAGGAAGGGUGUUGUGUUAAUAGCACAGCAUUUUGACGUUACCUACAGAAGAAGCACCGGCUAACUCUGUGCCAGCCGCCGCUGUAAGAC